rnacentral:rRNA from 1 species
UACGGGGGGAGCAAGCGUUGUUCGGAUUUACUGGGCGUAAAGGGCGCGUAGGCGGCGCGACAAGUCACUUGUGAAAUCUCCGGGCUUAACUCGGAGCGGCCAAGUGAUACUGUCGUGCUAGAGUGCGGAAGGGGCAACUGGAAUUCUCGGUGUAGCGGUGAAAUGCGUAGAUAUCGAGAGGAACACCUGCGGCGAAGGCGGGUUGCUGGGCUGACACUGACGCUGAGGCGCGAAAGCUAGGGGAGCGAACGGG